UUUCAUUAAAAUCCUGCAAUUGUGUUUACCGGAAAAAGAAAAAAAUCCUGCAAUAGCAUGGAAUUGGGAUUGGAAAACUGGAAGUGAAAGUGGAACUGAAAAAAUAGGUUGUUUGGUACUGUGGAUCUCACUUCUCCAUGGAAUCUGGCUUCAUCGCAAUUGGCGAAACUCACUUCUACUUUAUACCUAUGGAUCCCACUUCCUCCCUCAUUUCCUUCAUAAAAAAAAUGAUCCAUUUCCAUGUAUACCAAACAUGUUUUAAAACCUCAAUUCCUCUCUCUUCCAGUUUUACGUCCAUAAAAAAACUCUUCCAUGCUGCGAAACGGGGCAUUAGUUCUCUCAAACCAGGCAACCUUGCAUCUGAAAGUUUCCUCAGAGAAAAAGAAGACGAUAAUAAUUAGAAGUAAAACCAGUGUAGGUCCUGUAAUCAUCACAGCAAUAAUCCAAACUGGAAAUCUCUUGUUUUCUUUUGCUGUUGCUGGGCUUGGAGCUGGUGCAUAAGGAGGGGAUGGAGAAGGAGCAGGACACAAAAUAUCCAAUGGCUUCCCACAGAGAUCUGAAUUAUUAUCGAAAGAGCUCUUAGGAAAUUUCUGCAGCACAGAAGUUUGAGGAAUUGGUCCCACCAGAUGAUUCUCCAAUUCCUUCAGACCAGGCAAGCCAACAUACUCCACUGGAAUUGACCCGUAGAAGCGAUUAUAUGAAAGCAAAACAUGUUCCAAGAACACCAAGUUGGUGAGAUUUGGC